rnacentral:rRNA from 1 species
AAACGACUCUCGACAACGGAUAUCUCGGCUCUUGCAUCGAUGAAGAACGUAGUGAAAUGCGAUACUUGGUGUGAAUUGCAGAAUCCCGUGAACCAUCGAGUCUUUGAACGCAAGUUGCGCCCGAAGCCAUUAGGCCGAGGGCACGUCUGCCUGGGCGUCACGCAA